rnacentral:rRNA from 1 species
CCUACGGGGGGCUGCAGUGGGGAAUAUUGGACAAUGGGGGCAACCCUGAUCCAGCCAUGCCGCGUGUGUGAAGAAGGCCCUCGGGUUGUAAAGCACUUUCAGUGAGGAAGAACGCCUGGUGGUUAAUACCCAUCAGGAAAGACAUCACUCACAGAAGAAGCACCGGCUAACUCCGUGCCAGCAGCCGCGGUAAUACGGAGGGUGCGAGCGUUAAUCGGAAUUACUGGGCGUAAAGCGCGCGUAGGUGGCUUGAUAAGCCGGUUGUGAAAGCCCCGGGCUCAACCUGGGAACGGCAUCCGGAACUGUCAAGCUAGAGUGCAGGAGAGGAAGGUAGAAUUCCCGGUGUAGCGGUGGAAUGCGUAGAGAUCGGGAGGAAUACCAGUGGCGAAGGCGGCCUUCUGGACUGACACUGACACUGAGGUGCGAAAGCGUGGGUAGCAAACAGGAUUAGAUACCCGGGUAGUC